GAGCACAGUCUCAAUUGCCCCCCCUGAGAAAAUAGUGCAACUGCCAUCAGUUGAGCGACCUUAUUAGGGGCUCGGUCGGGUGCUGCAGCUCUUUGGCAGACCGGGCCGCUUUAAAGUUGCAGGGAGUGCUGGGAGGAAGUGACUGUUACUUCCAACCAGCAUACAGACCGCGGGGGCUGAGAACACGCAGGAUGCAGCUGCGAGAGAAGGAGGAGGGAGGAGAGAGAGCUCUGCAACUUCAGACUCCCAUCAGGAUCAGCCAGCCUCAGGAAGUCACCUCCCUGCAAAGAAAAAGGUAUUUAAGCAGAGGGGAGGAUGCUUAACAUUAUGGAAGCUGCAAUUUGUGUGUGUCAGUGUGUAUGUUUAGGUAUGGGGACAUCUGUGUGUGUCAGUGUGUAUGUUUAGGUAUGGGGACUGUAGCGGAGCUACAAUAUUAAAUCCCACGAUCUCCGCUGGUACAGAAGGUAAUCCACAGUCAGCGCUGAAAAGUAAGGCAAUAUCCCAAAUCCCCCAGUAACCGGAUGAAAUACAGUUCUGGGAGUCAACUGAGGUUUUUAUUCACAGCAUCCAGUAUUUAUGCAAGUCCCCAUGCAAGGGGUUUCCUUACUGACAUAGCAGGGGUAAUACAGUAGGGGACUACAUGGGGGACUUAACAUUCUGAGCAUUUCUCCCAUCAGGCACUGCUGGACGAGAGGAAUACUCCCACUGUAAUAUACGGUUAAGUGGAUUAUCCCUCCAUGCAGCAGAACCGGCAUUUUACUUUUAAAUACAUAACGUUAGCAAUAUUCCGUUUAUUUAAAUGAAUGGACGUUCGGUAGAUAGCUGGGGUCUGAGUGCACAUUUCGUGGGAAUACCGCUCAGAUCCCAGCUAAAACAACCGAACGCUAUCACUAAAGUAAUUAAGAAAAUGAUAUUUCUCCUACUGAGCACAGGAUCUAUACUAAUUGCCAGAUAUUGGAAGUCCAAAGACUUACCUUCACUACAAGAAAUUGAAGAUGUAAUGUCGACAACGGUAGAAUAUGAACUAUUAAUGUGGAACCAAAGAAGAAUAGGGAAACUGAGCCCCCAAAUAGCCCAAAUGUGGCAAACUUACCUCCAAGCUAUUAAUAAGAAUUAGUUUUUGGGCAUACACGGGCGAGCUACUGGUUUUGGGUAAUGUAACUAUUCGAGCAUCCAAAUUUUCUUCCGGCAUUUUUUACCCAAUAUCCAAUAGGGAUAGUAGCAAGAAAUUUAUAUUAAAAUUAAUUUAAUAGAAG